rnacentral:tRNA from 1 species
ACAGGCAUAGUUUAACCAAAACACUAGAUUGUGAUUCUACAGACAGAAGUUCAAAGCUUCUUGCCAGUC